rnacentral:misc_RNA from 1 species
CUGCAGUGUUGAGAGUGUGAAUCUCAGUAAUAAUGGGUGUGACCAGUUGAUAAAAAAUUGGUAGUAAGUUUAGAUCCUCGGCGGCUGGCUGUCCCACCGCCAAAGCAAGUUUGUUUCAAAGAAAAACACCUAGGGAAUUAAGAAAUUCGGUAGGUGAACUUCCGUAGGUGAACCUGCGGAAGGAUCAUUACUGAUUUGCUUAAUUGCACCACAUGUGUUUUUCUUUGAAACAAACUUGCUUUGGCGGUGGGCCCAGCCUGCCGCCAGAGGUCUAAACUUACAACCAAUUUUUUAUCAACUUGUCACACCAGAUUAUUACUAAUAGUCAAAACUUC